CUAGCGCAUGCGCUUUAGCGAGGCAGUCUCGGGCGCCCAGCUGUCAGAGCUGUUAGCCUGCUUAAACAGAGGAAAAUGGUACAGGCAGAGCUGGUCUGGUAUCAGGAAAAAGGCUGCCUACGAUAAUCCACUGCAGGACCCUAAAAGUCUCGACCUUAGGGCCCCCUCGGACCGUCUCCAAGGUCGGGUCCCGCUGGAGAAGGAGGCAUUUCGAGAGUGUUUGAAAUACUCUAAGACAUUUUGGAGCUCUUGGGGCCUAUAAUGAAGAAACGUAUAUCCUGCGAUGAAAACUUGAAACAAGCUACCUGUGAAAAUGCUUUGCAAUGUGUAGAUUCAUCUGACAGUUAAACCUUUGUUUUGAUUCAACAGGUUAGAAACACUGUUUUCAUAUAAUCUACGAAGGGACACUUCGGUGCCCAUUGAGGAUUAUAGUACAAAACCAAAUAUUAUGCAAUUAAAACUACAAACAAGCUAUUGGGGAAAAUGCUUUGCAAUGUGAAGAUUUGUCUCACAGAGGGGUUUGGGAACAUACUUUUUAUAUAACUUAUGAAUGGACAUUUCAGAGCCCAUUGAAGCCUAUACUGAAAAUCCAAAUAUCCUGCGAUAAAAACUAGGAGUAAGCUAUCUGUGAAAAUGCUUUGCGAGGUUUGGAUUAAUCUCACAGAUUUAAGCUGUUGCUUUGAUUUAGCAGCAGGUUGGAAACCCUCUUUUUCUACAAUCUACUAGGGUACUAUUCGGACCAAAUUGAGGCCUAUACUGAAAAACUGAUUAUCCCGUGAUAAAAACUAGAAAAAAGCUGUCAGUAAAAAUGCUGUGCAAUAUGUGGAUUCAUGUCACAAAUUUAAACCUCUGCAUUUAUUCAGCAAGUUUGGAAUACCUUUUUGUAGAAUAUACAAAGGGAUGUUUCACACCUAUAAAAGCCUAUAGUAAAAAAGUUGGAUACACUCUUGUUGUAGAAUCUACAAAGAGACAUUUUGAAGUUCAUUGAGGUCUAUAGUGAAAAACCAAAUAUCCAGUGAUAGAAACUAUAAAGAAGCUAUCUCUGAAAAUACUUUAUGAUGUGUGAUUUCAUUUCACAAGUUGAACUUUUCUUUUGAUUCAACAGGUUGGAAACACUCUUUUGUAAAAUCUACAAAGAAACAUUUUGGAGUCCAUUGAGG
rnacentral:lncRNA from 1 species